GGCUGCCUUGCAGGGCCCAGGCGGGGAGACACAGCAGGUCUGGGUGGCCGCUGGGCACUUGCCUGGUGCUUCCCUUCCACAGGUCCUGUUCCGUGGUGGCGAUGCUGGCACUGGGAGAAGGCAGACGAUGGCUCUGGAAUCAGGUGCUUUGCCAGUUCCUAGCCUGGCUUUCUGAGGAGUCAGGUGUCUGGAAGGCCCAGGACAACGGAAAGCCCAGGAGGACAGUGGCUUCUCCUGUCAGCAGGGGCAGCUGCUCUCACUACACCCAGGCUAGAGGAACACCUCAGUCCUUCCUGACAGGAAUUGGCCAAAACUAACUGCACUUGGUGACAGAAAAGCAUGGAAGGUGAUAUCAACUCCAAGGCUGAAAGUUUUUCCAGUAGGAAAGCAGACAUGGCAUCGGGGAGCCUAGAACUUCGCUGAGGUAAAAGAGCCCUGAGGUCUCCGUAGCUUGUCGGAAACUAGAGGCUGAGACCCGGGACAUUGUGACAGGGAUUUGUAUUUAAAGGGGCUCGGGGACAUUUUGUGUGGGAUUUGCAGUGGUCAGAGGAGAGGACAUGUGGGACAGAGCGUGUGACACACUCAGGUGGCUGCCAUGGAGAAGAGGCCUGCCUUCUGGAACCAUCUGGAAGCAUUAGGUUGGAUGUUGAGGUGUGACACUAUUUUCUGUUAAUCCCUGUCAAACCGCUUUGCAUUUUUCAGAGCGCUUUCUUGUGGAUUGAAUUUGAUCUUUACAAUAUAAAAUCUUUUCCCUGGCUUACUGAAUUUUAAUUUUGUCAAUGUUUGAACAACUGCUCCAUGGGAGGGUGUGUUUGAUGACAGUGUGGAGAGGAAGCUAAGUCUUACAGGCAGUGGGCUGGCAGUGGACCCCCAGUCUUGAUGAGGGUGUUGUGGGGCAGCGAUGGGCUCAGGGUGGCGGAGAGCAGAACAGGAAGUGCCUAGGACUACGAGAGGCUCCACUGUGGCCCAGGGGCUGGUUUUCUGUCUCAGGAUCCUUGUAGGAGAGGAGGUCCAGCUCAUCCCAUGCCUCCCCAUUAUGGCCUUCCCAAGGACACAGUGACAAACAUGACGGGUGGCGUUCAGUCUACCUCAGGAGGUGAUGCGGAAGGAUCAUCAGGCCCCCUGACUUAAUGAAAUAACAGCCCAAAUGGGAAGCUUGACCUUGAGGGGUUCAUAAACUUCGUAUCUCACCAAAGGCGGUGGUGAAGUGACCGCUCCCAUGGGGGGGACCCCAGGAACAGACAGCUCAGGUGUCCAUGGGGCUCCGCAGCUCACCAGCAGAGGGAUUGGGGCCAGUUUUGUAAGCUCCCUGGGCCUCAGUUUCUUCAUCUGUGAACAGGAACAGUGCUCGGUAGUGCUGCUGGGAUUCUAAGUCGGUGCUCUCUGUAGAGUACUUAGCAGGUGAAGUGCUUAGGACCUGGUGCAGGAUCAAUAAACACCAUUGCUAUGUUAUUAUAGCUGCUGUUACGGGAAGGGACUCCAUGCAGAUUACAAUUCAGCACUCAAAAGAGACUGUUUUCACAGCAGGGCUUAUCCUAUGAUGGCCCCUUUUCUCCUUGCCCGGAAGGACAACACUCCUAGGACCCCGAACCCUACUCCUGACUCUGAGCCUGGUAGAGAAUCGGGGAAGUCGGUGCCCUCCUGCUUGCAAGGGCCUGAAGUCCCAUUGACCCGGUCUCUGCAUGUGCGUCUGGCUGUGUGCACGGUGUGUGUCUCUGGGAGGCUCUGUGGUCCCGGGACUGGGGAAUGACCCAUGGUUCCCACGCACAGCUAGGGCCGUGGGGGAUUCGGCGGUGUUUAGACCCAAACCUUCCUCGUUAUGGAUUCUUCCAGUUUCUUCUCUCUACAUGAUCCUUCUUUCUCACUGUGAUGGUGAAGCUUAUUUGGCAUCUUGGUUGGCUUGCAAAGUGCCUAGUGAUAGAACUGUGGGGGACUGGUGGUGGCUGAACAGAUAAGAAGUAUGAAGGCUUACUUUCAGGGAUCAUUUCUAUAGUUUCAAAUAUAUAAAAGUAUGUGGUAAUCAUGAUUCCCCAUUAUGUGGCCUUGAAGCCUUAUAAAGUUUUCACUUAUUAAUUGGAAUGGCUUUAUUCUGGGCUUCUUGAAUGGAAAUAUUUGAAGCUAUAGUAUAUGAAGUUAUAUUCAAAUAUUUCAAGGAAAAAGACAGUAUGGUAACUACUAUUAAGUCGGGUUAUUUGGUGGUGAAGCACUAGGUUGCUGAAACAGUCAUGCUUUGACCUGUAUUGUUAUGUUGUUAUGUCCUCUUUUAUCUCAAUCUCUCCCUUAUUUAUUAAAAAAAUUAUUUAGUUAUUUUUUAUGGUUUUUUUAAUUAAGGGGAAAAAUUUUAAAAAUUAGCAGGAUAUAUUAUAGUAACCUUUUGAUUUCCUAUUAAUUUGAUUUGAAGUCCUGUAAUACUCCCACUAUCUUGUUUUGACUGAUUAGACUCUGUUCCGUUCUGUAUGAUAGUAUCAAGUUUGAGGGUAUAGGCAACUACUUUGAAGGCAAUAAGAUUCACUGAGAUGCCCAUUCUGGUUUGAUUAUUAUCUUCUUUGGAAGUCCUGUAAUGUUUACAAUGUUUAAGUUUUAUUGGUCUUGUUCUCUACUAUUCAGUUCAACUUUAUAAUACCUAAUGAGAUAGACAAUUCUUUUUAAGGAAGCAAGAGGCAUUAUGGUAACCAUUGCUGAUAACCUUGUACUCUGUUUUUACAUCAUGUACUAUGUCUAUCCUUGGUUUUGACUGACAGCUUUGUUUUGCCAUAUUUGACUUUAUUCUCUUCCAAAAAAAAGUAAUAAAAACUAAGGAGUAACAAACCCAAAAUGUGUAAAUUUUGUUGUAAAAAAGAGAGGGGAAAAAAAGUGCUCUAAAGGAUACAACUGCAAGUGUGUUUAGGGGUGUUAAAUAGCUAACCAUAUUAAUGUUUUUGGUUGGAUCAUUGAACACAACUGUUUGCAGUCUCACUGUUUGAAUGUCCACUUUGUAUGCUUUGAUACUGUGACUUGAGCAACUAUCUCUAAGAUGAUAAUGUGUAAUCUAUUAACUGGUGAUUUCUUACUUUUUUUUGUAGUUCUGUAUUACUUGUACCCUUACACCGCUUUGUUUUGUUUUGUUUUUUCUCUUUUUCCUUUUAAAUAAAAUUUUUUUAAAAAGAUAAGAA